UCGGGAAUUUUGGGCAAUGGGCGAAAGCCUGACCCAGCAACGCCGCGUGAAGGAUGAAGUAUUUCGGUAUGUAAACUUCGAAAGAAUAGGAAGAAUAAAUGACGGUACUAUUUAUAAGGUCCGGCUAACUACGUGCCAGUAGCCGCGGUAAUACGUAGGGACCAAGCGUUGUUCGGAUUUACUGGGCGUAAAGGGCGCGUAGGCGGCAAUUCAAGUCAUCUGUGAAAUCUCCGGGCUUAACUCGGAACGGUCAGAUGAUACUGCUUUGCUAGAGUGCAGAAGGGGCAAUCGGAAUUCUUGGUGUAGCGGUGAAAUGCGUAGAUAUCAAGAGGAACACCUGAGGUGAAGACGGGUUGCUGGGCUGACACUGACGCUGAGGCGCGAAAGCCAGGGGAGCAAACGGGAUUAGAUACCCAUGUAGUCCCUGAGCGGGCUGGCAAGGCGCAU
rnacentral:rRNA from 1 species